rnacentral:rRNA from 1 species
GAAGAGAUAAGUGCUGAAAGCAUCUAAGCACGAAACUUGCCCCGAGAUGAGUUCUCCCUGACUCCUUGAGAGUCCUGAAGGAACGUUGAAGACGACGACGUUGAUAGGCCGGGUGUGUAAGCGCAGCGAUGCGUUGAGCUAACCGGUACUAAUGAACCGUGAGGCUUAACCUUACAACGCCGAAG